AGCGAACGCUGGCGGCAGGCUUAACACAUGCAAGUCGAGCGGGCGUAGCAAUACGUCAGCGGCAGACGGGUGAGUAACGCGUGGGAACGUACCUUUUGGUUCGGAACAACACAGGGAAACUUGUGCUAAUACCGGAUAAGCCCUUACGGGGAAAGAUUUAUCGCCGAAAGAUCGGCCCGCGUCUGAUUAGCUAGUUGGUGAGGUAACGGCUCACCAAGGCGACGAUCAGUAGCUGGUCUGAGAGGAUGAUCAGCCACAUUGGGACUGAGACACGGCCCAAACUCCUACGGGAGGCAG
rnacentral:rRNA from 1 species